rnacentral:rRNA from 1 species
UAGUCAUAUGCUUGUCUUAAAGAUUAAGCCAUGCAUGUCUAAGUAUAAGCCUUGCUUACUGCAAAACUGCGAAUGGCUCAUUAAACCAGUUAUAGUUUAUUUGAUGAUACUGCGAUAUUGCUACUUGGAUAACCGUAGUAAUUCUAGAGCUAAUACAUGCAAUUAUGCCCUACCGAAAGGCUGGGUGCACUUAUUAGAUACAAAGCCAAGACUAGGGGGCAACUCCUAGACCCUUGGUGAUUCAGAAUAAUUUCGCGAAUCGAAUGGCCUCGUGCCG